rnacentral:misc_RNA from 1 species
GAUGAAGAACGCAGUGAAAUGCGAUAAGUAAUGUGAAUUGCAGAAUUCAGUGAAUCAUCGAAUCUUUGAACGCACAUUGCGCCCGCCAGUAUUCUGGCGGGCAUGCCUGUUCGAGCGUCAUUUCAACCAUCAAGCCCCCGGCUUGUGUUGGGGACCCUGCGGCUGCCCGCAGGCCCUGAAAACCAGUGGCGGGCUCGCUGUCACUCCGAGCGUAGUAGCAUAUAUCUCGCUCAGGGCGUGCUGCGGGUUCCGGCCGUUAAAAGCCUUUUUUUUUUACCCAAGGUUGACCUCGGAUCAGGUAGGAAGACCCGCUGAACUUAAGCAUAUCAAUAAGCGGAGGA